rnacentral:rRNA from 1 species
GUUAAGAGCCAAACGGGUGGGACCUCGAAGGUCGAACCGAAGGGAUUCAGCUCGUCGGCCAAAGCCGGCUGGGCGGGGGAUUCGCUGAUGCGACCCAGGAAGUCUUGGGCGUGCCCCCGUUCAAGUCGGCGCCGGCGGGCGUAUUUCCCCUCGUGACGUAGGUCGCCGCGACCCGUUGCUGGGGACGUCUAAGGCCCGGGCGGACUGGUACCCCGACGCCGUGAGGCGAAGGGGGAAACCUCCGGUGUCCUGGCUGCCCUGCGACGGUCGUGCAGAUGAGGGACGAAUGAACUUCGCC